GUGGGGAAUAUUGGACAAUGGGGGGAACCCUGAUCCAGCCAUGCCGCGUGUGUGAAGAAGGCCUUUUGGUUGUAAAGCACUUUAAGCGAGGAGGAGGCUACCGAGAUUAAUACUCUUGGAUAGUGGACGUUACUAGCAGAAUAAGCACCGGCUAACUCUGUGCCAGCAGCCGCGGUAAUACAGAGGGUGCAAGCGUUAAUCGGAUUUACUGGGCGUAAAGCGCGCGUAGGUGGCCAAUUAAGUCAAAUGUGAAAUCCCCGAGCUUAACUUGGGAAUUGCAUUCGAUACUGGUUGGCUAGAGUAUGGGAGAGGAUGGUAGAAUUCCAGGUGUAGCGGUGAAAUGCGUAGAGAUCUGGAGGAAUACCGAUGGCGAAGGCAGCCAUCUGGCCUAAUACUGACACUGAGGUGCGAAAGCAUGGGGAGCAAACAGGAUUAGAAACCCUAGUAGUCC
rnacentral:rRNA from 1 species